GGACUACUGGGGUAUCUAAUCCUGUUUGAUCCCCACGCUUUCGUGCAUCAGUGUCAAUAUUCGUGUAGCCAGCUGCCUUCGCAAUUGGUGUUCUAUGUCAUAUCUAAGCAUUUCACCGCUACAUGACAUAUUCCGCUGACCUCCACGGUAUUCAAGACAGAUAGUAUCAAUGGCAGUUUCCGAGUUAAGCCCGGAGAUUUCACCACUGACUUACCUGCCCACCUACGCACCCUUUAAACCCAGUGAAUCCGGAUAACGCUUGCACCCUCCGUAUUACCGCGGCUGCUGGCAC
rnacentral:rRNA from 2 species